AAGUCGUAACAAGGUCUCCGUAGGUGAACCUGCGGAGGGAUCAUUAACACGUAUCCACGUACCUAGUAAGCAAUUUUAUGGCAACCUACAGGUUUCGACAAACCCAGCGUCAAUGAGCUCACAAACAGUAGGACGGGGCCUCAAAAACCCUGUCGCCUCAGCUGGAUAGACCUUCGUCUUGAAGCGACGUAAAAAAUUCCCGAAACAAACUUUAUUGCUUUUGUUUCGCAGUUUGCUGCUGUUUUGUAACCCUGUUGUACCUUUUUAACUAUUUAUAACCAUUUGUCUGAAACAGAGGCGUUAUUCGAAAGGGUAAGCCUCACCAAUCGCGUAAACUUUAUACAACUCUUAACAACGGAUAUCUUGGUUCUC
rnacentral:misc_RNA from 1 species